rnacentral:lncRNA from 1 species
CUGGCUGCUGAAACCUGAGGGUGGCUCCCCUGAGGGUCUGGUCUAGACGGGAAAAGUGCAAAGGACAGCAGAAAGCUAGCAGGAGUCCAGCUUCCAGAGUGAGAGGUGCAGCCAGCUGACCCUCCUGUCUCCCGGCAUUUCUCCAUCCCACUCUUCUGGUUCCUCUGAGUGACUCUUUCCUUUCCCAAGUGGCCUGUCAAUCAAGAUGACCUUGUACCCAUUCCAUCACCCACUCUAGGAAAACACGUGAGCUAGAGUAAUAUAGCCAACAAUUACUCCAGGCCACUGUGGUGCCUUCAGGGAAGGCACACAACUCAAGCAAGAACCAACAGCAUCUUACUGGAGCCACUAGUAGAGGUUGGGAGAGAGAAUGUCUCUCUUCCUGGAGAUUACAAAAUAGGAAAUAUUUAUAAACAAAGUUCUGGGGGUCAUCUUGCCCCCAGUAAUCAGCAGAGAGGGUAAUCAACAGAGCCAAGAGAUGAGGAGGGGCCAGGUCCAUGAUAACACAAUCUGAGUCCCUGGAUCCGGUCAUACAGGGAGAAAGAACCACGCCUAAACUUUCCCAAUACUGAAUCAUUAAGUCCCCUUUCCUCUGGACUAGUUUCUCUCUGCCUGAGGGUCUUGGCUGACACACAGCUAAACCCUGCCCUGCGGUCACGCACGGCCGACGGUUUUUAUUCAGAUGAAUUCAGCCAACAGUAACAGACAUCCGCUUUCUGACUGGCACUGGGGACAUGCUGUUUGCCUUGGAGGAACUAACAGUUUCAUGGAGGAGACAGACAUGUCAGCAAAUAUGUUUUUCUAUGGCUUCACAGUAAAACUCCCAGAACUGGUUCCUGUCUCUGCAACAAGAUUCCUUUGGAGUCAAAGAGAACACACAAAACCCAAUUCAUGCGGGACACAUCCUGAAGUUCUUAAACAGGUAGGGACCUGAAGAUGCUUUCUGUGUUGUGGGAAUAACAGUGACUGAUCUCUACCCAAGAGACUCCUGGAAUUUUGUCUUGGGACAGGCCUUUUUGACAGAUGGUGUGGAGAUAUCCAGCUUUGCCAGGUAAGGGAGUAGUUUUUUAUCUCACUCUGAAGGCAGAGUGAAGAAGCUGCAGAAAAUAUCUUCAAAGGGACUAUUUGGUUUUUGAUAACGAUUACACUCCUGAAGUGACCUUUUGCUGCUUCAUUCCUGUAAGACUUUAACCCCUGAGAUUGGACACAUAUUUGGACUUUGACUCUGCCAGUGGCUUGCACGCCUGUUGCAAAGCUCCAGCCACUUGGGGGAUGCUGACCAGCACCCCAUCAACUUUGCCCUGUGUAUGCAAGAGGCAGAGUGCUAUUGGCUUCAGCAUUACAGAAAGAUACAAAGUGGAUUGAUGAUGUAUCUGCUGACACACCUGGAAUUACUCUGAAACAUAGUUAUGACAAUAAUGUGAAUUUGCUAACCCAUGGAAAUCUAUUUUUUUUUUCCUUUUUUUAGGGCUGCAUCAGCUGCAUAGCGGCAUAUGGAGGUUCCCAGGCUAGGGGUUGAAUUGAAGCUGCAGCUGCUGGCUUAUGCCAAAGUCACAGCAACACCAGAUCCAAGCCUGUCUUUGACCUAUACUGAAGCUCACAGCAACACCAGAUCCUUAACCCACUGAGGCGGGGGCGGGGGGGGGCGAGGUAUCAAACCUUCAUCCUCAUGACUAAUAGCCAGGUGCUUUACUGCUGAGCCACAACCAGAAUUCCCACCCAUGGAAAUCUUUUAAAGAAUAGUGUUCUUAUGAUAACCUGUAAUGGAAAAGAAUCUGAAAAAGAAUGUAUAUACACACACACACAUGCAAAUAUAUGUAUAUAUACAUAUACACACACAUAUAUAUAUAUAUACCUACAUAUAUCUAUAGGAGUUUCCUGGUGGCUUAGCAGGUUAAGGAUCCACCAUUGUUACUGCUGUGGCUCAGGUCACUGCUGUGGUGCAGGUUCGAUCCUUGACUGAAGAAUUUCUGCAUGUCAUGGAUGCAGCCAAAGAAAACAAAUAUAUAUAAUAUAAACCAAUCACUUUUCUGUACACCUGAAACUAACACAACAUUGUAAAUCAACUACACUUUAAUUAAAAAAAGAAGGGAAAAAAAUAAUGGAAGAAGUGAAUAAUAAAAUACCUUGCUGUUCUCCAAAUACAAGAACCUUCAAAAAUAGAGUUCCCAUCAUGGCAUAGCAGAAACCAGUCUGACUAGGAACCAUGAAGUUUGGGGUUUGAUCCCUGGCCUCACUCAGUGGGUUAAGAAUCUGGCAUUGCUGUCAGCUGUGAUGUAGUUUGCAGAUGUGGCUCGGAUCCUGUGUGGCUGUGGCGUAGGCAGGUGACUGUAGCUCUGAUUUGACUCCUGGCCUGGGAACCUCCAUAUAUAUGCCUCGGGUACAGCAGCAGCAGCAGCAGCAGCAGCAGCAGCAGAAGAAGAAGAAGAAGAAGAAGAAGAAAAAGAACUUCAAAUAGGAGUAAUCAAAAUAAACACUUGCACAUUUUAAAAAAGUUUAUGUUCAAUACUUCAUUUAAUCCUAUCACAGCUCUAUGAAGAAGAAAGUGCUGUUUUUUUUGUUUUUUGUUUUUUUUUUUUUGGUCUUUUUGUCUUUUCUAGGGCCGUACCCACAACAUAUGGAGGUUCCCAGGCUAGGGGGUCUAAUCGGAGCUGUAGCCAUUGGCCUAUGCCAGAGCCACAGCAACGCAGGAUCUGAGCCGAGUCUGGGACCUACACCACAGCUCACGGCAACACCAUAUCCUUAACCCACUGAGCGAGGCCAGGGAUCAAACCUGCAACCUCAUGGUUCCUAGUAGGAUCAUUAACUACUGAGCCAUGACGGGAACUCUGAAAAUGCUCUUAUUGAACCCAUUUUAGAAGCCUCUCUGAGGCUGAGAGGCUGGGUAAACUGAUGAAGGUCACCUUGCUGCUGGAGUCAACGACAAAGGGUACUGGAACAUGCUGCUCCAAAAUAUGCCGCCUUGGCGUAAGGAGCAUUUUGAGCUGAAGGCAAUUACAAAACAACAGAUGCAGGAAAAAAAGUAUCUGCUCUUCCCCAGUCUUGCUAAAAACAAGAUAUAUUUUUCUCAUUUUUUUUUUUGGCCCGGCCAGGAAUCAAACCUGUGCCGCAGCAAUGAUACCGAAUCUUGUAUCGCUAGGCCACCAAGGAUCUCUUAAAAGCAGGAUACAAAUUUUCAUUUGUAAAGGUGUUUCUUUCUUCCAAGUUGGAAAGAGAAGGACAAUUCUUGGACUCAUAAUCACCAGAGACAACUCUGGACUCUUAUCAGGUCAGAGAUGGCAUCUGAGAGGCCCCUACACAACAAACCUUACUAAAUAACCCUGGUUUUCUAUUAGUUUCCUCUGAUAUAUUUUCCUUCCCACUGUUUGCCACCUUGAAAGUCUUCACUCCUUUUUUUUUGCCGUAAUUUUUCUCUGCAAAUUCACUCUUCUUUGUUAAGAUGCCAUAUAAGCCCCAAGUUCCAACCAUUUCUUUGAGUUACUCAUCACUGAGGUUCUCCCAUGUAUAUGCAUGCUGCAUGCUUUCAUAAAAUCUGUUUUUCUCCUGUUAAGUUGUGUUUUGUCAGUUUGAUUCCCAGGAUUUUAGUUACAGGCCCUAAGAGUGUAGAGAAAAAGUUUUUUUCAUUCCCUACAGGAUUUAACCCAGAUCUGUCAAUGCUAAGACUAGGCUCUUACUGUCUCAUAAAAGAUGCUCAGUAAGCAGAGGAUAAGUGAAUGAAGGGCUCUGUAUUAGUUUACUCAGGCUGCCGUAACAAUAUACCACUGACAGCUUGGCUUAAAAAAUAGAAUUAAUUUUCUCACAGUUCUGGAGGCUGCGAAGUCCAAGGUCAAGGGGCUGCCUA